CCGAGUUUGCAGGAAGCUGCUAAAGUCCUCUGUGACAUCCGAGAAGCACAGCGAUUGACCCAUCAGAUUAACCCAUUAUCGAGUGUGAGUUUCUCAUAAUAAUCAGGUGCCUCGGACCUCCCACGACACGCCUCCUGACCUCUCGGAGUGCUCAGUGCUGUCCACCUGCACAGACCCUCUGCACCACAGGAUCUCAGUGCCUCCCAGGGGCUUCUCUAGGAGAAGCGCAUCUUGUGAGGAGUCAGUGCCUCAGUUCCCUCAUUCGUGAAAUGGGGAUGUUAAUGGUGCUUCCAUCUCAGCUUCCUGUGCAUCUGCUGACAUUGCCGUUCCAAACCUCAAGAUUUGAGCCCCUUCUCUCACCCCCAAGCCAAAAGCCUCCCCCAGAGCUCUGAGGACCUCCCAGCCCCCCACUGUCUACGGCAGCCUGGGGCAGAGAAGGGGACUCGGGGAGAGGCCUACCGGGAAAAUAAACUCCCUGACCGCCAACGCCCCCAGGCCCUGCCUGCGUGGGGACGGCUGCGGGGCGACAGGGUGAGGGCAGACCAAGGACGGAUGGCCACUCCAGCCCUGCCUGCCCAACUCAGCAGAAACCAGGGCCAGCGGUAAUGGGCUGGUGCCCCCCAGCUGCAACCAACUUCAUUUUCUGUCACAAUUAAAUGAUUGCUCGAG